AAUUCGAUUAUGGAUCCCCAAUACUUUGGAGGGCAAGUCUGGUGCCAGCAGCCGCGGUAAUUCCAGCUCCAAUAGCGUAUAUUAAAGUUGUUGCAGUUAAAAAGCUCGUAGUUGAAUUUCGGGAUCAGUACGCUGGUCGUGCCUUCGGUAUGCACUGGUGUCACUGGUUCCUACCUUCUGAAGAACCAUCAUGCCAUUCAGUUGGUGCGGCGGGGAAUCAGGACUGUUACUUUGAAAAAAUUAGAGUGUUUAAAGCAGGCUCGCGCUUGAAUACAUUAGCAUGGAAUAAUGAAAUAGGACGUUUGACCCUAUUUUGUUGGUUUCUAGAACUGCCGUAAUGAUUAAUAGGGAUAGUUGGGGGCAUUCAUAUUCAGUCGCUAGAGGUGAAAUUCUUGGAUUGACUGAAGAUGAACUAUUGCGAAAGCAUUUGCCAAGGAUGUUUUCAUUAAUCAAGAACGAAGGUUAGGGGAUCGAAAACGAUCAGAUACCGUUGUAGUCUUAACAGUAAACAAUGCCGACUAGGGAUCGGGUGACCUCUUUGUGAUGUGUCGCUCGGCGCCUUACGGAAACAGUAUUGGGGAUCCAUAAUCACUAGUG
rnacentral:rRNA from 1 species